AAAGAUAAUUCGAUAGGUUACCUCCCGAAAGUAUAAGAUCUAAGUAUAAUAUUUAGUUAUAGACAUUAGCAGAAAACUGUGGCAUUAGUUUUAAAUAAAUACAUCUUAGUGGCGAAACACCUACAAUUAUACUGAUAACUGGACAGUUGUUAAAUAUAUUAAGUUUAUAGUUAAUCUACAAAGUGAUAAGAAUUUGUAGUAGGAAUUUAUAAAAUAUGUUUAUAGUACCAAUAACUAAUACUUAAUAGUACUCUUUAAUAUUAAAAUAAUACUUUUUUUUCGAUUCUCAAAUAACAACUUAUUUAAUAUAAUCAUAAAAUGAAUUUGAUAAUGUAUAAAUUAGUAUAUAAAUUAAUUUAAUUAAAUAAACUCGGCAAAUAUUAUAUACGACUGUUUAACAAAAACAUAGCCAAUAGGUGAUAUAAUUAUUGGUGAAGCCUGCCCGGUGAUUUUUUAACGGCCGCAGUACUAUGACUGUGCAAAGGUAGCAUAAUCAUUUGGCUUUUAAUUGGAGUCUAGUAUAAAAGGAUUAACGUAUAAAAGCUGUAUCUAAUUUUAAAUUUAUUUAAUUUAAUUAUAAGGUGAAAAUACCUUAGCAAAGAAAAGCAGACGAGAAGACCCUAAGAAUUUUAAGAAGAUCGCAAAUGAAAAUAUGUGUGGUGAUUUUUGUUGGGGCAACAUUUUUUCAUUAAAUAAAAAAAAUACUAUAAUAAACAUAACGAAUAAGUUUAAUAAUGUAUAAAUUACCUUAGGGAUAACAGCAUAAUUUUUUACAAAGAUUGUGACCUCGAUGUUGGACUAGGAACUAUUAAGGCUAGUCGUUUUAAUAAAAUAGGUUCUGUUCGAACUUUAUUUCCUA
rnacentral:rRNA from 1 species